rnacentral:lncRNA from 1 species
UGCCCUUUGUUUACUCUUUCUCAUCGAGUGUCUCACCAUAACGUUUUCUACCAUCAAAUGCUGUACGUCUUAUCGAAAAAAACUGCUAUACGUCCCCGCAAAGAAAAAGGUCUAAUUGGCCAAACCUACCAAAACAAGGGAUUUACGCGUGCCCGGGCUGCUCUUGGGGAAACAGUAGCGAAUCGUCACGCUUCUGCAGUUCUACCGCAGCCCUAACAUGGAGAUCCCGUAUUG